rnacentral:rRNA from 1 species
UACGAGGGGGGCAAAUGUUGUUCGGAAUCACUGGGCGUAAAGGGAGCGUAGGCGGGCUCUUAAGUUAGGUGUUUAAUCCCGGGGCCCAACCCCGGUCGUGCACUUAAAACUGGGAGUCUUGAAUAGUGGAGAGGUCAGUGGAAUUGGGGGUGUAGCGGUGGAAUGCGCAGAUAUCAGGAGGAACACCAAUAGCGAAGGCAGCUCGCUGGGACGGUAUUGACGCUAAGGCGCGAAAGCGUGGGGAGCAAACAGG